UGCUUUUUUAAACAUAUGUAUUCCUAAAUAACGAAUUAAACUGAAAAGUUGUUUAUGAGAGUAGAUCAUAGUGAGUUGAAUGUAAUUUUUUUUUUUUUUUUUUUACAUUAUUGUCAAUUUAGACUGCAAAGAAUUUGCCCAUGUGUAAUCUGUCAUGCAGUUAGUUUUAAAAUGUGCAAACCCACCAAAAGCUGAUGCUGGAGUUCAUCUGAAAAAAGCUAUGCUAAUAUCUAGUAUCCCAGAAUCAGUAUCUGGUAUUAAGAAAGAAAAAAAAAGUUCAUAAGUAUAGGCUACAGCAGAUUUAUUUUAUUAUCAUUGAGAUGCUGUUAAAGUGUUUCCUAUUAUAUUAAAUUAGCUUUCAUUUUUUAUGUCUUUUUUAUUUUAAUUUUAGUUCAUGUUUUAGGUUUUUUUUUUGUUGUUGUUAGUUUGAUAAAUAUGUCUGUAUAGUUUUUAUUUUAUAUUUUUUUAUAUUUUAACUUUUUAUGUUUGCACAUUUUUAUUGUUUUAGUUUUAGCUAUUUUAAUCAUCAUUAGUAUAUUAACAAAUAAACUAUUAAUAAAUAUGAACUCAUUAGCCUUGUCCAAAUAUCCACACUUGCGGUCUUUGUACUUGACCACUUGUCUACUUACAUGAUGUAUUUCCUGUAUUUGGCCCAAGUGUUCAAGUAGGUGUGAAGACCGCAAGUGUGUAUAGAACUUUUGAUUACCCAAUGGGACACACUUACAGUUGCAAGAAAAAGUAUGUGAACCACUUGCAGAAUCUGUGAAAAUGUGAAUAAUUUUAACAAAAUAAGAGAGAUCAUACAAAAUGCAUGUUAUUUUUUAAUUAGUACUGUCCUGAGUAAGAUAUUUUACAUAAAAGAUGUUUACAUAUAAUCAACAAGACAAAAAAAAAAAAAAAAAAAUAGCUGAAUUUAUUAAAAUAACCCUGUUCAAAAGUUUGUGAACCCUUGAUUCUUAACACUGUGUGUGGUUACCUGGAUGAUCUACAACUGUUUUUUUGUUGUGUGAUGGUUGUUCAUGAGUCUCUUGUUUGUCCUGAGCAGUUAAACUGAGCUCUGUUCUUCAGAAAAAUCCUCCAGGUCCUGCAGAUUCUUCAGUUUUCAAGGAUUUUUUGCAUAUUUGAACCCUUUACUGCAGUGACUGAAUGAUUUUGAGAUCCAUCUUUUCACACUGAGGACAACUGAGGGACUCAAACACAACUAAUAAAAAAGGUUCAAACAUUCACUGAUGCUUCAGAAGGAAACACGAUGCAUUAAGAGUCGGGGGGUGAAAACUUUUGAACAGGAUGAAGAUGUACAAAUUUUUCUUAUUUCGUUUAAAUAUCAAUUUUUUUUCAUUUAGUACUGCCCUUCGGAAGCAACAGAAGAUGUUUCCCAGAAGACAAAUUAAGUACAAUUUACCUUGAUCUUCAAAUUCAAAAAGUUUUUACCCCGGCUCUUAAUGCAUUGUGUUUCCUUCAUUUGUGUCAAAUCAUGAUUCGGAUCGCGUGUCAAACCGCCAAACUGCUGAAAUCACGUGACUUUGGCGCUCCGAACCGCUGAUUCGACACAAAAGAUUCAUAACGCUCCGAAGCUUCAUGAAGCAGUGUUUUGAAAUCAGCCAUCACUAAAUAAGUCAUUAUUUUUUAUUUAUUUUUAUUUUUUUGGUGUACAAAAAAUAUAAAUUGUCACUUUAUAAUAUUAAUAUUGAACCACUGUACUCACAUGAACUGAUUUAAAUAUGUUUUUAGUACAUUAAUGUAUCUUGAGAGAGGAAAUGUCAUUGCUGGCUAUGCAGGCCUCACGGAGCCAUCGGAUUUCAACAAAAAUAUAUAUCUUGAACUCUUGUCAUGGAAACUACUGUAUGUAUAAACCUUAAUUAACAAUUUAAUAGUUAAAUGCUCCAUUUCUGCAUAUAAUAAAGAGUACAAACUAUAUAUAAUUGCAUCUUAGUAUGUUAUAUAGUUAGCAUUUGAACCACACUUGCUAGGCAACAAGAACAAUCCUCUGUAGGCUAGACCUCCCCAUUUAACAAAGCUCAGUCCGACCUUUGUGACCUUUGAAGGAUACAAUUGGGACACAGCUUAUGAGUGCACCUGAUAACGUCCACUAUGGUUUCGGACACCACUACAAAUGGCUGUCCCCUCAAACAGUGCCCUAUUUAAGGGUAUAGGGCAGGGGUGUCCAAGCCUGCUCCUGGAGAGCUACCGUCCUGCAGACUUUAAUUCCAACCCUGCUCCAACACACCAGUCUGUAAUUAUCAAGCAACCCUCAACACCUUGAUUAGCUGGUUCAGGUGUGUUUGAUUGGGGUCGGAGCUGAAAUCUGCAGGAUGGUAGUUCUCCAAGAGCAGGGUUGGACACCCCUGGUAUAGGGGGUGAUUUCGGCACAACCCCAGCGUUUAAUUCUCACUAAUCAAACACACCUGAUUCAAGUCAUCAGCUCAUUAGUAGUGACUUCAAGACCUGAAAUCUUUGUCAGAGGAGAGAGACAUCCAGCAUGUUUCCUGUGGACUCUAGGACCAGGGUUGGGAACCACUGCCUUAACGAAUAAAGAUAUCACUAAAUAACAACAAAUAAAAUUGAUGUCUUUGGAAGAAGAUUACAGUGGGUUGAAUAUCAUUUUGUCCCAGUGCUUUUAGAUGAGCAUUAGAGGGGUGUUCUGUCCUGCAGAGUUUAGUGCCAACCCCAAUUAAACUCACCUGAACCAAGGUAAUCAAAUCUUCAGAACCUCUAGAAACAUCCAGACAGGUGUGUUGGAGCAGGUUGGAGAUAAACUCUGCAGAACACUGGCCCUCCAGGAGCUGAACUGAGCACAACCGACUAAUUAGUUAUUUUGAACAUUAAAAUUAAAAUAGAGUGCGAAGAUAUUCAAAAAUGACUUUAUCUAUCAUGCCUUUUAGUCAUCACAAACCCAAGAAAACCUGUUGAAGAGAAAGCUGGAGUUCAUCUGGAAGAAGGACAAGCUACUGAAUCAUCGAAUGCCAAUGCAGCUAAUGCUGAAGAACCUUUGCUCAAGAAAGAGUUUAAAGAACAAGACACUGAU